UCUCUCUCUUCAAAAUUUUUUUAAAUCCCAUUUGUGCAGCAGCCACAAUAUUUGUUCCUUCCCAUUCUCAUUGACUGCAUGCUUUGGUUCUUACCAUGAGAUGUUGUAGUGUUAUAACUGGUUUGGCUGCUGUCCGUGGGUCACAGCCAGUUUUUGAUCCGAGCAUAAUUCUAGGGAUACAGUGAAUUGCCAUGUUAAGGUGAUCAUUGCAAAGCCCAUGGGUGGGAAUGAGCAUGGUUGGUUUUGAUGACGUUCGGAAGCAUACUUGCAAAUGAAGAUCAACUGUUGAAUUUUUUUCCUAAACUGAUGCUUAGUUGUAGUUGCAAAUUAAGAUUGAGUGUUGAUUUUUUUUCGUGGACUCCACGUUAGUUUAUUUUGGGAUUUACUUUGAUGGUUUUUUUGUGAUACUUAAUGGAUUAUUAUUAAGGUUGUUUGAUGGAUAUAUUUUGAUUUA